UAAAAUUUGAAUUUUAAACUUAUUUAAUGAAACUUUAUAAAGGUAAUUAUAUGAAUUAAUUGAGUUAAAUUUUAAAUUUUAUAAGUACUUAAUUAUAUAUAACAUUCUUCUAUUAAAAAAUUACAUAUAUUCUUACAAUCUUAUUGCUGAAAAAAAAAAGACAAAAAAAGAAUUACAUAACCGACAUUUUACAGAACUUAGCUGAUGAAGAUUAUAAUGGAAUUAAACCAGAUCGAUAUAGUGUCAAUCUUGAUUCAUUUACACCUUUAAGGUAGUGUACUGGAGAAGAAAGAAAUAAAGGAAAAUGUAUUUUACUAAUAAAAGGAUAAAAAGUUUUGGGUUUAACCUAAUAUUCUUUGCAUUUUAAAAGAAUUGAGAUGUCUAAAACUCGAAUUUUUCUUUUUUUUUUUUUUUUAAACUUUGUCAUAUGUACGAAAAAUUAAGAAAAAUAUAAAAAG
rnacentral:lncRNA from 1 species